CCCAGUGGUCCCAGCAGAUCAGCGUUUGGCAAACUGAUGCCCAGACAUGUGAAGGAGCCCAGCCACGGUCAGCAGAGCCUCUCCCCUCCCCACAGCUCACGGGUGAGCCCAGCAGAGACCAGAACUGAUGUGCGAACCCACAGACCUGCUCUGUCUCCUUUUGGGAUGACCGGGAUGUCCACAUCUAGGGGACACUGGAGACAUACCUAAGGACUGCAAAGCUGCUGUCAGCCUGGUCCGUAAACAACUUGGAGGAAGAGCCAUUCCAAAAACCUGGACACCUGCCCAGUACUAUUGGAGACAGGAGUAAAAGGUACUGGUGCUGUGAAGAGAGGAGAAUCUGCAUGGACAAGUGGUCAGGAUUUGGAUAAUGUAAUCAUUCAAGAUGGGACAGGAAAACAUCAACACCACUUUGGUGAUGUUGAAGGGGAAGUAAGGAAAACCCUGAAUAGGUUAAAAUGACACAGAGAAGAACCAAAUGCAACACCAUCACAGCUACUUUGAAGAAUUCUCUGUGAUAUUCAUGAUAAAGAAGUCUUGUUAAUGCUGCCAGUAAGAAACUCAUUAACAAGGCAAGUAAAUAAACAGAACUCAAAACAGACAUCAGCCUCCAAACCCAACUUCACUGCAUGUAAAUGAAAUUCCAGAGGAGUAUAAAGUGAUCAGAUGGGGAGAAUCAGUUCUUAUGCACAAUUCCAUUGCUUGAGAUGAUGACAGAAUCCUAUUUACACAACUCAUGAUAAUAUUUGAUAUUUAAGUGCCAGUACCACAAUGUUCAGUGACAGCACCUUCAAGAUGGCACCAACGUCGUUCAAUUGUCUACUGUGCACAGUGUGCUAUUGGGUUAUAUGAUGCUGUUGAUUUAUGUACUAACAAUGAAAAGGCAAGAGACACUUACAGAUAUACAUGAGGAAGUACCUGCAUUUGCACGAAAGAGAAAUCCUGACAUUAACCCUUCACUGUGCAUGAUAGAUUUCGAGUUUGCAAAUAUGAAUGCAAUUUGACUACUACUAUCAAGUGCACGAAUAAAAGGAUGCUUAUUUCACUUUUCACAAUCUUGAAAAAUACCUUCUCUGAGUCUAACGCAUGAUAUGCGACAAUGAAAGGUAACACCUGUCUAAGUGUGCACCAUUUGGGCCUUUGAAAAACUUAAAUGAAACUUUUGAGCACAUUGUGGAGAAUGCAAAGAAAAUUUAGAUGACCUAAUGGCUUAGGCUCAGAGAGUGUAUGUCUGUGGAAGGCUUGGCAGAGGCAGAGUAAGACCAGACGCUCCAAGAUUUCCACCAGAAACUUGGAAUGUUUACACAUCAGUAUUGAACGGGGAUCACAGGACAAACAAUGCAGCAGAAGGCUAGCACUGUAAAUUUCAAAAGCCGACAGGAGUAUAUUGUCCUUCAAUUUGGAGCCUCAUUCAAGUGUUAAAAGACAGACAGGAAAGCAAUGAACAAGCUAUCACCCAGGUUUUUGGUGAUCACACUCAAAUAUGGCCACCAACUUCACCAUGAUACCAAUAAAACCAAAUGCAUAUAACUGAAAUUGUUAACAGAUAAGGUCAAUUAUCAGGUUCACAUAUACUUGAGAGCAAUUGCUCAUCAACUUAAGAGUAAGCCUGCCAAACAUCACGACGAGGAAGAAUAAGAAUAAAUGUGAAUUUAUUACACAUUUCAUCAUGAAUUACGAUAAAAAUAAUGUAAAUACAAUUUUAACAAAGUUGAGUAUUUGUAUUAUUUAAUGAAUCACGGCCCAAAUGUCUCCCUGGAUGUUUUGGACAGGAACAAAUACCAAGGACCUUUUGGCAUGGACCAAAUGUCUCAAUAGACGUUUUGGAUGGAACCAAAUGUCCCGCAAGGCUCCGGUCCCACCCAGACCUACUGAAUCAGAAAACACGAUGGGGUUUGGCUAUAUGUUUUAACAAGUCUUCCAGGUGAUUGAUUGUGCUGCAUGUUAAUGUUUGAGAACCAGCCUCCUGGAGUGAAAAGGUUAA